rnacentral:sRNA from 2 species
UCCGGCCGGACGCCGAGUCUCACUAGAGAGCCGGGGACCCACGUUCCUGGGGUGAAUCCGCAGUUCACCUGCGGUAGGGCCUUCUCCUGGCCCGAACCCGUCAGCUAACCCGGUAGGCGAAAAGGAGAGGCGGA